rnacentral:lncRNA from 1 species
CCAGAUUUGAGGGCGCUGCUAGUGAAGGUGUUGUCGAAGUCAGAUUAUGCUGGUAGAGGUGCUGCAAAGGCAUGUUGCCGGUGGUUUUGUUUUUCAUUUUUUCAGUAUAUUGUGCCUUCUUUGUCUUCAACUCUUCCUACUCCCAACAAGAUACAGAUCACUAAUAGGAUGGAAACUUCUUGAGAGAAUAUUCCUCAGCUAAGAAUACAAGAAGUUCUCAAGCGAAACCAUCAGAAAGAAACAAUGAAAACAUCACAGAUAGAGAAUGGGUGUCCUUGUGCUGUUAUCAAGAGUAGUAGUAAAAAUCAACAAAUUUAUCAUUAGAAUAACAAUCAAGUAAUCUCAUACAACUUCCUAUACACCAAAGUUGAAGAAUGCCUCUCACCUCCAUCUUUUUGAACUCAACCUCCAAGUUUGCUUUCUUGCUGUUCGCACCAAUUGCAGAUACCUUCUUCUGGAAAAUAGGUAACUUACAAAAUUUAAACUUGAAACAUUCUAAAUUAAGAAUUUGAUAGACUAUUCUGUAGGAAAAAACAAAUAAAGAACCACAUGCCAGAAGAAAAUGAUCAAUUUAUCGUCUAAGUAGACAACUGCUAAGCCUAAGUCUCAAACAAGUUGGGUUCCUCAGUUCGUCAUUUAAGUUUAUUUCAUAUCAUCAUCAUACUAAAUAAAAUUCAAGAACAUACCCAGUGAAAUUCCACAAGUGAGGAACAAGAAAUGAAUAAAAAAUUGAAAGUAGUGCAUUUUACCAACAUAUCUAGGCUUAAAGUUUAUGAACAAGAAAUAAUCCACGAUUAGACUUAUCGAAAUUCUAACUCCAAAAUCAAAAAUCACAAGAAGUCACAUUUUCUGUAAUCAUUCACAAAACUUGGCCAAUCCUAUCUGCAUAUCAAGAAUAAAGGAACAAUAGAACCCAAAUUCAUUUUCUGAUACAAUGCGUUAGAAAGAAUUCGAAAAUAAAAAAUUACCUGGCCAGAUUUGAGGGCGCUGCUAGUGAAGGUGUUGUCGAAGUCAGAUUAUGCUGGUAGAGGUGCUGCAAAGGCAUGUUGCCGGUGGUUUUGUUUUUCAUUUUUUCAGUAUAUUGUGCCUUCUUUGUCUUCAACUCUUCCUACUCCCAACAAGAUACAGAUCACUAAUAGGAUGGAAACUUCUUGAGAGAAUAUUCCUCAGCUAAGAAUACAAGAAGUUCUCAAGCGAAACCAUCAGAAAGAAACAAUGAAAACAUCACAGAUAGAGAAUGGGUGUCCUUGUGCUGUUAUCAAGAGUAGUAGUAAAAAUCAACAAAUUUAUCAUUAGAAUAACAAUCAAGUAAUCUCAUACAACUUCCUAUACACCAAAGUUGAAGAAUGCCUCUCACCUCCAUCUUUUUGAACUCAACCUCCAAGUUUGCUUUCUUGCUGUUCGCACCAAUUGCAGAUACCUUC